UCUACCUUGCUAAUAUCCAAGAAACCAAAGAUGUGCAGUGAGUUAAAUCAGUCCGCUCCUGAAAAACCAAGGCUACAGUGGGACCAGGAUUUCACUAUGUCAGGUCUAGUGAAGACCCGACAAAUCAACAGCAGAUCACUCUCCAGUUGACCCCCUGAGGAGAAGAAGAGUAAGGUGUGAUCCCAUCUCUGCUGCAAUCAACUACUCUGAAAAUGUCCAUAGCCCAUGUAUGUGCCAGUGUGUGAGAGAGAUCAGAUGGUUGAAUCAUCUUGUCUUGUGUUAUUG